GCGCCCGUAGCUCAGUUGGUAGAUAGAGCGGUGGGACGGUACCCCACGUUCCCGGGUUCAAGUCCAGGCGGUCGCU